rnacentral:rRNA from 1 species
GACAGAGGGUGCAAACGUUGCUCGGAAUCACUGGGCGUAAAGGGCGUGUAGGCGGGCAGGUAAGUCGGGCGUGAAAUCCCUGAGCUCAACUCAGGAACUGCACUCGAAACUACUUGUCUUGAGUGCCGGAGAGGAAAGCGGAAUACCUGGUGUAGAGGUGAAAUGCGUAGAUAUCGGGAGGAACACCAGUGGCGAAGGCGGCUUCCUGGCCUGUUCUUGACGCUGAGGCGCGAAAGCUAGGGGAGCAAACGGG